UACAGAGGGGGGCAAGCGUUGUUCGGAAUUACUGGGCGUAAAGGGCGCGUAGGCGGCCUUCUAAGUCGAACGUGAAAUCCCCGGGCUCAACCCGGGAACUGCGUCCGAUACUGGAAGGCUUGAAUCCGGGAGAGGGAUGCGGAAUUCCGAGGUGUAGCGGUGAAAUGCGUAGAUAUCUGGAGGAACACCGGUGGCGAAGGCGGAUCUCUGGGCCUUACCUGACGCUCAGGCGCGAAAGCUAGGGGAGCGAACAGG
rnacentral:rRNA from 1 species